GACGAACGCUGGCGGCGUGCUUAACACAUGCAAGUCGAACGAUGAAGCCGGAGCUUGCUCUGGUGAAUUAGUGGCGAACGGGUGAGUUACACGUGAGUAACCUGCCCUUGACUCUGGGAUAACUGCGGGAAACUGUAGCUAAUACCGGAUACGACCUUCGGAGGCAUCUCCUGGGGGUGGAAAGAAUUUCGGUCAAGGAUGGACUCGCGGCCUAUCAGCUGGUUGGUGAGGUAAAGGCUCACCAAGGCGACGACGGGUAGCCGGCCUGAGAGGGUGACCGGCCACACUGGGACGGAGACACGGCCCAGACUCCUACGGGAGGCAGCAGUGGGGAAUAUUGCACAAUGGGCGCAAGCCUGAUGCAGCAACGCCGCGUGAGGGAUGACGGCCUUCGGGUUGUAAACCUCUUUUAGCAGGGAAGAAGCGAAAGUGACGGUACCUGCAGAAAAAGCACCGGCUAACUACGUGCCAGCCGCCGCCGUAA
rnacentral:rRNA from 1 species